GGGGCUGUAGCUCAGUGGCAGAGCACUUGCCUAGCAUGCAUGAGGCACUGGGUUCGAUUCUCUGCAACACAU
rfam:Ictidomys tridecemlineatus contig100729, whole genome shotgun sequence.